GGGGCUGUAGCUCAACUGGAAGAGUGGGGGUCUCAUAAACUCAGGUGGAGGUUCAAAUCCUCCCAGCCCCC
rnacentral:tRNA from 1 species